rnacentral:lncRNA from 1 species
GAUCUUAUAAUUUAACAGAAUUUUUUAACAAUUUGAUUAAUGAAAAGUGAAUGAUUUCAGGAAACCCAUAAAGAGCAAAACUUUUAAAGGCAUGGACAUUUUUGUAAUCAGAGAUGGAAAGCAUUUCAUAAGUCCAGAGAAACCGGACUCUUGACUCAUCAAGCUGCUGCUCUCCUUCAGUAUCCUCAUCAUCCUCAGAGAGUGAAUGGACGCACUGAACUCUGGACUGGAUCUGGUCUGGUCUCCUCAACAGAGAGAGGAACAUCCACAGAUUCACCCUCCAUUUCUGUGAAACCACUGGCUGUAAAUUUAAGAAAAGAUAAAAAUGACAGCUUAAACACAGUGUAUUAUAUUUAUUCAGGGAAAAAUUAAUUAAUAAAUUAAUACCAUGUAUUUUGAAGAAAAAAGAAAAGAAAGACAGCAGAAGACAUACCCCCACAGAGGAAGAGGUCAGUCAUCAUCCUGCAGACAGCAGACAGACAGAUGGACACUGAUGGACACACACCUGUGACUGUAGAACCUGGACAGAAGUACAUUACAGUUACUCAUGCUAGCAGUAUAGAGCCAUCUGACCAGCUCCAGUUUCACUUUAGAUUUUAAUUUAAGUUCAGACAGAGUCAAUCAAUCUGAAGAGUUCACUGAGAGGGAUGCACACUCGUGUAUUCUGUCCUCUAACACUGACCCUCACAGAAAACUUUCUUUAAUGAACAUAUGAACAUACAAAAUAUGACAGUGAAAAUUUGAGGUAAUGAUCAUGUGCUUUAUCCAGUGUCUGAUGUGAGUUUGAAUAUUAUUUUGCGUGAUCUAAAAGCAAGAUAUUUUACCUCACGAAAAUAAAUGAUGCUAAAGCAAACUCGUUGAAACUGUGAACUCACUGCGAACCAACAUCCAUAAGAAAGAUAUAGCUUUCACUCACUCAAAAUUGUUCAGUCCAAUCACAUCUGAAACAUCUGUUUUCAAUGUCCACUCCUCACUGAACACGACAAAGCGAUGCAAAUCUUUUGAACUUUGUCACAAAUAUAUCGAGUCCGCAGUUUUCUGUCAGGGAUUUCUAUAUCGAGUCUAUUAGGCUACUGAUUAUAAUAAGUUCUGUUGUAUUUUGUUGCAUCGCGUCCGGUGUAGACACGAUGUGAGUUAAUGUCGCUCUCUGAU